UCAAGAACUAGACAUAUCUACAUGACAUAACAAUAAAAUAAUUACAAGUUUUGAGAUAAUAUAUAUAAUUUUGAGAUUAAUUAUGUAAAAAAUUUUACCUUUUUCAUUGUUGGACGAGAGUUUGGAGGUUGAUUUAGACAAGAAUUAACGCAGGAAACUAUUCGAUACAUUUGUUCAUGGUCAAAGGAUUGUAAAUUGGAAUCUAUAAAAUUUGUAUAUUUUCCUUCCAAAGCCUUUUUAAUUAGAGGAUUUGCCUACAAAAUAUUAAUUAAAAAAUUAUUUAUUAAUGAAUCAUAAAUGCAUUGGAUUGAAAUCUAAAUAACUAUUGAGAUCUAAAUUCAAAACUUUAUAAAUAGUAAAUAGAAUUUUUAUAUCAUAGCUUUAUUAAAGCAAAUAGAGCCAUACCCAAGUAAUAAUGUCAAUGCCAUUGUAUAUAGGUUUUCUUCCGGUAAUCAAUUCUAAAAGUAUAACUCCAAAAGAAUAAAUAUCAGAUUUAUCGGAAUACUUCCUCAAUUUUGUUGUCAGCGGAUCUUCGUAACUGCAAUAGAAUUUGUUAAGAUUAUUAAUAUUAUCAAAUUAAGGAUUACUUAUAUUUUUUUAUGUGUUAUUUUAUUUAUUUUAUUUAUUUUAAUAUUUAUUUUAUUUUAAAUUAUUCUAAGAGAAGAUAAUAAUAGCAUUUGAAAAAAUAGAAAAUAAUAUCAAUGCAAUUAAAUGAUAGAAAGAAAAUUAUAUCUUACACAUGGGUUCCCAUAACUGAUGAUAUGGAUAUGUGAGUAGCACCGUUGGUAAAAAAUUGAGCAAGUCCAAAAUCUGUUAUCUAAAUAAAUAAUUUAAGUUAAUUUAUUAUGCCAUUUAUAUACAUAUCUUAAUUUAAAAUUAAAGUUAUUUUUCACACUUAGUUCUAUGAAUAUACUUUUACUUUUUUUUAUUUGAUAAAUUACACAAUUUUCUGUACUUCAAUAAAGUUGAUUAAGAAAAUAUUAAAUCUUUAAAAAAAGACAAAAAAGACCUUGAUUUAUUAAUUUUUUUUAUAAGCAAUCAAUUUUAUUAAAAAAGCCAAAAAUAUAUGGCCAAACCAAAAAAGAAUUAGAACCAGAUUUAUUAAUUAAUUACAAAAAUCAAAUUAUAUAAUUAAGGAGUUCACAUAAUUACAAUAAUAGGUUUAUUCUGGUGAUAAGUGUAUCCGAUUAGAUCCGAGAGAUCUCAGAUUCUGCUUCUCCAAUCUCCAAUUUCCAAUUCAAAAAAAAAGUUCACAUAAUUUUUCAAUAUUAUUCAAAAAUAAAAUUUCGGUAUUCAGUGAUUAAGGUUUUACUAUACAUGAUUAUAUAAAUAAAAUAUUUAUUUAUUAUAAAAUUACUUUACCUUAUAAAAUUACUUUACCUUAGGUUCAAAAUCUUGAUCAAGAAGAAUAUUAUUUGGUUUGAUAUCUAAAUGAAUAAUUUUAGAAUUACCUGAAAAAAUAUAAAAUGUAAAUCAGAGAAAAAAAAUUAUCAAUAUAAAUAAAAAUAAAUAAAUUCACACUCAAAAGCUAAAGUCCUGCCAAGUAAGAAUAUGUAGUAGUAUAUACUCACAGUGUUCAUGUAAAUAUUCCAAUCCUUUUGCAGAACCUGUGGCGAUCUUCAUUCUUUUUUCCCAGUCCAAAACAUUCCCAUUUCCUACAAUACCAUUUGUAAUUUUAAGAUUUAUCAUGUCAUAUUGAUUAUUUAUACGAAUAUAAAAGUAAAAGAAAGGAUAUAUAGGACUCACCAUGUAAUUUAGAUCUCAAGGACCCAUUUGGAAAAUACUUUAAAAUAAGCAAUCUAUUGGUUCCAUCAAUGCAGUAACCAACCAAUUCAACGAGGUUUGUGUGACUGACGCUUUUGACGACCAUAAUCUCCCUCUCCAAAUCUUUUUCGCAUUGUACAUCCGGAAAAUCAAGUUUCUUAAUAGCACGGAUCUCACCAUCUAAGGAUGCCUUAAAAACAUGACCAAAACUACCUCGACCAAUUAGGUUAUUGAGCGAGAAAUGACCUGUUGCCCUUAUUAGUUCACCGUAUGAAUAUGACUUUGGCCCAAUAGUCUUCUCAGGAGAUGAGCCAAAUUCAUUCUGAUCUGUGCUUAGUGACAAUCAAUAAACAAUAUGCCUCAAUUAGUUAGGUGAAAUGAAAUCUCCAUGAAACUAUUACUAUUUGGUUUUUGAAUGAGAAAUCAUCGGUUGCCAUUGUUAGUUCAUCAUAUGAAUAUUGUUUUAUCCCAAAACCCUUAUGAUGAUUCGGUUCUGUGAUUAGUGACCAAACAAUAAACAACGUGCCUCAAUUAGUUAGAUGAAAUGAAAUUUCAAUAUGAGAAAUGAAAUUAUAAUCAUUUUGUGAUUGUAAAUAACAUGGCAAUUUCAUUAGCCUUUAAUGAAAAAUCUAAUAUCAGAAUUAAUUCAAACGAAUAUAAAAGUAUUUAAUUGACGAAGUAUAAAAGCAAGAAAGAGUAAGAUGUGAUUGUAAAAAUAGAAAAAAGAUAGGAAUUUUUUUAUCAUUAACCCUUCAUUUAAUUUUAAGAAAUAGUAAAUAAAAUACGUUUUUAAUUUUGCACCCUUCAUAUAAGGCAACAAAGGAGGUUUCAGUUCAUAAAUGAUUUUUCUUUAUUGUUUCAUGAUUAAAAUUAAUUAAUAAGAAAUCAUAACCCUAUAAGUAAUUCUAUUCUUCUAAUUCAAAUAAAAUUAUAUGUUUAAUCUUGAAACUAUUCAAUCCUAUAAAUAUUAACUAUGUUAUUUAAUUCAAUAAUUGACAAAAUUAAUGAUUAAGGAAUUAUGUAUGACUUUGAGGUAAAAUUUUCAUCAUUUUUUUUACAGUUUGUUUGAAUAAUUAGAAGAUAAAAAUUAUAUUUCAUUAAUAUGAUAACAAUUUUGACUAAAAAACUAAUUUAUUCUACAUUUCAAAUUAAAAAAAUUAAUAUUUAUGCAGUUGAAAAUCCACAUUUGUUUCUAAUUUUAAGAUAAGACACAAAUUAAAUGAAAAAUAAUUUAGGCAUCAAUUUGAUCUAAGUUUUAGUAUAAAUAUGCAUAUAAUUUCUAAUAAAUUAACAUAAAAGGAUAUAGACCUCUAUGUAUGAUGCUCUUUCGCAAUUUAUGAUCGUAUAAUUCUUCCGGGAGUGAUAUUCCUUCAAGAACUAGACGUAUCUGCAUGACAUAACAAUAAAAUGAUUACAAGGUUUGAGAUAAUAUAUAUAUGGUUUUGGGAUUAGUUAUGUGAAAAAUUUUACCUUUUUCAUUGUUGGCCGAGAGUUUGGAGGUUGAUUUAGACAAGAAUUAACACAAGAAACCAUUCGAUAAAUUUGUUCAUGGUCAAAGGAUUGUAAAUUGGAAUCUAUAAAAUUUGUAUAUCUGCCCUCCAAAGCCUUUUUAAUUAGAGGUUUUGCCUACAAAAUAUUAAUUAAAAAAUUAUUUAUUAAUGAAUCAUAAAUGCAUUGGAUUGAAAUCUAAAUAACUCCAAUUGAGAUCUAAAUUCAAAACUUUAUAAAUGGUA
rnacentral:lncRNA from 1 species